CACGGUGUCCCCAUUUGUCCUCGAGGUUCAUGGCAGGAAGCAAAUCAGACACCUGGCCCAGUCGCCUCUCUGAUAAGGAGUGGGAGCGAAUGCCAGCCAUGCAUUUCGCGACUCUCCCUCUGCUCGUUCCCAGAAGCACACAUUGAAGCUUCCUUUCCAGGGAAAGAAAAAGGCCACAUUUCUGGGAAAAAACACAGUCACUUGAAAAAUAACCAAGCACUCGCUGCACAUAAAACAUCUGCUGCGUGCAGACCACUUGGUGCAGCCACGACGCGGAGGAGAGUGAAGACGGGCAAUUCCGGGGCGGUCGUGUCAUCUUUCUGGAUCCAACCAACUUAUACGAGCUUCUUGGAUGCGAAUGAAAAUCUCGUGAAUUGUCCAGCAAGUUGACAUUCCUUUCUAGAUCCAGCACAUACAACUCUCUCCAGACAAUGAAAGGUGAGAAGGCUGGAAAGGAAACCGAAUCCUGCAGUGUCUAAUCAAUUUUAAUCGAAUCUGCUAAUUGAAUCAUCCACAUCCUUUAAAAAGGGACAUGGAAAUCAUGGAAGCAAGCCUCUGUUUUGGUGCAUUCUUCAUCCCUCAUGGCAUGUCAAAAAAAUUGAAUUUCUCACAGUGGAGAAAGAGUCUGUCAAAGUUAACUUUACCUGGAGCUAAUAAAUUAUUAUAUUUCAUCCAAAGGGUUUCCAAUAAGUAGUUAUUCAAAGACUCAAUUUUUCAAUUAAUGUCUCCAAAUGCUUUUCUG
ensembl:lincRNA